UACGGAGGGUGCGAGCGUUAAUCGGAAUUACUGGGCGUAAAGGGCGCGUAGGUGGUUUGAUAAGUCAGAUGUGAAAUCCCUGGGCUUAACCUGGGAAUUGCAUUUGAUACUGUCAGACUAGAGUGUGGUAGAGGUAAGCGGAAUUCCCGGUGUAGCGGUGAAAUGCGUAGAUAUCGGGAAGAACAUCAGUGGCGAAGGCGGCUUACUGGAUCAACACUGACACUGAGGCGCGAAAGCUCGGGGAGCAAACAGG
rnacentral:misc_RNA from 1 species